UUCCAUCAGUAAAUGAGAUCAGUUAGGAGUAAAACAACCCAGCUCGAACUCGAGGGAGGAAAAAUAUUGAAAAACGUGAUGGUUUUGGGAUUUAAUCAAUCACGCGAAUGUUUGGAGAUUGGCCAACACGAUUCAGUAAGCUCACA